AGUUGAAAAAGGCAAACUAGGUUAAAGUCUAGGACGCAAAGCCAACGGUCUAAGGAAAUUUAGCAAUUUUUUUCUAUGAUAGCGUAGCUACCGAC
rnacentral:ncRNA from 1 species